rnacentral:rRNA from 1 species
UACAGAGGGUGCAAGCGUUAGUCGGAUUCAUUGGGCUUAAAGCGUGCGUAGGCGGAUGUGCAGGCGUCGUGUGAAAGCCCUCGGCUCAACCGGGGAAUUGCACGGCGAACCGCAUGUCUUGAGACAAGUAGGGGCGGCCGGAACGAUAGGUGGAGUGGUGAAAUGCGUUGAUAUCUAUCGGAACGCCAAAGGUGAAGACAGGCCGCUGGGCUUGUUCUGACGCUGAGGCACGAAAGCGUGGGGAGCAAACGGG